GACGAACGCUGGCGGCGUGCUUAACACAUGCAAGUCGAACGAAGAGCGAUGGAAGCUUGCUUCUAUCACUCUUAGUGGCGCACGGGUGAGUAACGCGUAAUCAACCUGCCCUUCAGAGGGGGACAACAGUUGGAAACGACUGCUAAUACCGCAUACGAUCUAAUCUCGGCAUCGAGGAUAGAUGAAAGGUGGCCUCUACAUGUAAGCUAUCACUGAAGGAGGGGAUUGCGUCUGAUUAGCUAGUUGGAGGGGUAACGGCCCACCAAGGCGAUGAUCAGUAGCCGGUCUGAGAGGAUGAACGGCCACAUUGGGACUGAGACACGGCCCAGACUCCUACGGGAGGCAGCAGUGGGGAAUCUUCCGCAAUGGACGAAAGUCUGACGGAGCAACGCCGCGUGAGCGAUGACGGCCUUCGGGUUGUAAAGCUCUGUUAAUCGGGACGAAAGGCCUUCUUGCGAAUAGUGAGAAGGAUUGACGGUACCGGAAUAGAAAGCCACGGCUAACUACGUG
rnacentral:rRNA from 1 species